AUACACAACAGUCCUUGAUAUUCUCUCUUCAGUCAGUAACCCUUUUCUCUCUCUUGCUUGCUUGGGGGAUCUUGUCUUUACCUAAAAAUAUUCUGGAAUUUGUUAAAAAGCCCAUAUUUUUAUUGUAUGAAGAUCUAACACUUGUUUUUUCUUGAGGAAUACCUGAUCCAGGGAAAAUGUCUCAGGCUAACUGGGAAGCUGAUAAAAUGUUAGAUGUUUAUAUACAUGAUUAUUUGGUAAAGAGAGAUUUGAAAGCUUCUGCUCAGGCAUUUCAAGCUGAAGGAAAAGUCUCAUCUGACCCUGUUGCUAUCGACGCCCCGGGUGGCUUUCUUUUUGAAUGGUGGUCUGUGUUUUGGGACAUUUUUAUUGCAAGGACUAAUGAGAAGCACUCAGAAGUUGCAGCUUCCUAUAUUGAAACACAGUUAAUCAAAGCAAGGGAACAGCAGCAGCAACAACAACCGCAACAAUCACCUCAUCCACAACAACAGCAGCAGCAGCAGCAGCAACAGCAGAUGCAAAUGCAGCAACUGAUGUUGCAACGUCAGGCUCAACAAGCACAGCAGCAGCAACAGCAACAGCAGCAGCAACAGCAACAACACCAGCAACAACAACAAGCACAACAUCAACAGCAGCAGCAGCAGCAGCAGCAGCAGAGGAGAGAUGGGGCCCACCUACUCAAUGGAACUUCAAAUGGGCUUGUUGGAAAUGAGCCGCUUAUGAGGCAAAAUCCUGGAACUGCUAAUGCCAUGGCUACAAAGAUGUACGAGGAGAAUUUAAAAGUGCCACUUUCAAGGGACUCUUUAGAUGAUGCAGCAGCUAUCAAGCAAAGAUAUGGGGAGAAUGUAGGGCAGCUUUUGGACUCAAAACACGCAUCAAUAUUGAAAUCUGCUGCAGCUGGGCAACCUUCAGGGCAAUUGUUGCAUGGUACAUCUGGCAGUAUGUCUCCUCAAGUUCAAGGUCGGCACCCGCAACUUCCAGGAUCUGCCUCGGAGAUAAAGACAGAGAUGAAUCCAAUAUUGAAUCCCCGAGCUGCAGGACCUGAGGGGUCAUUGAUUGGAGUUCCUGGAUCAAAUCAAGGGGGUAACAACUUGACAUUGAAAGGAUGGCCUCUCACAGGUUUGGAUCAACUACGGUCUGGUCUGCUACAGCAGCAGAAGUCAUACAUGCAGGGGGGUUCCCAUCAGCUACAAAUGCUGACACCACAGCAUCAGCACCAACUUUUGUUAGCUCAGCAAAACAUGACAUCACAGUCUGCUAAUGAUGAAAGCAGACGGCUCAGAAUGCUUCUUAAUAAUCGGAGCAUGAGCAUGGGCAAAGAUUCAGUGGGUGAUGUUCCAAAUCUCGGAUCAUCUAUGCCUGUUCUACCUCGCGGUGAUCCAGAUAUGUUACUCAAGUUAAAAAUGGCUCAGCUGCAGCAGCAGCAGCAGCAGCAAAAUAGUAACCCACAACAGCAGCAGCAGCAGCCACAUCUCCAGCACUCUCUUUCUGCCCCCCUAAUUCAAAAUUCAAAUCUCAAUCUCCAGCAAGACAAAAUCUUGGGGACAAGCAGCGUAACUGCAGACGGGAGCAUGUCAAACUCCUUUAGAGGAAACGAUCAGAAUGGAAGAAAGAGAAAGCAGCCAGUGUCAUCUUCGGGACCUGCAAACAGUUCAGGAACGGGGAACACUGCAGGACCGUCACCAAGUUCAGCACCUUCAACACCAUCAACUCAUACACCGGGAGAUGUUAUCUCAAUGCCUGCACUUCCACAUAACAACAACACCACUUCUUCCAAGCCUUUAAUGAUGUUUGGGACAGAUGGUCCUGCAACUCUUACCUCCCCAUCAAAUCACUUGUGGGAUGAUAAAGACAUUGUGCAGGCUGAUAUGGAUCAUUUUGUAGAGGAUGAUGAUAAUGUCGAGUCUUUUUUAUCCCAUGAUGAUAAUGAUCCCAGAGAUGCAGUUGGUCGGUGUAUGGAUGUAAGCAAAGAGUUCACAUUUACGGAGGUGAGAUCGGUUCGGGCUAGUGCAAGCAAGGUAGUCUGCUGCCACUUCUCAUCGGAUGGUAAACUUGUAGCCAGUGGUGGUCAUGAUAAGAAGGCUGUACUGUGGUACACUGAUUCUCUAAAGCCAAAGACCACCCUUGAAGAACAUUCAUCGUUGAUCACGGAUGUGCGUUUCAGCCCGAGCAUGCCACGCCUUGCAACCUCUUCUUUUGAUAAAACAGUCCGUGUUUGGGAUGCUGAUAAUCCUGGGUUUUCCUUGCGAACAUUCAUUGGGCAUUCUGCGUCUGUGAUGUCAUUAGAUUUCCACCCGAAUAAAGAUGACCUCAUCUGCUCGUGUGAUGGGGAUGGGGAAAUAAGGUACUGGAGCAUAACUAACGGUAGCUGUGCACGUGUAUUCAAGGGUGGGACGGCGCAAGUGAGAUUCCAGCCUCGCCAUGGAAGAUAUCUUGCAGCAGCUGCAGAAAACAUCGUGUCAAUACUGGACGUGGAGACGCAAGCUUGCAGGCAUUCACUGCAGGGGCAUACAAAACCAAUUCAUUCCAUUUGCUGGGACCCAAAAGGGGAGUAUUUGGCAUCUGUUAGUGAGGACUCGGUCAGAGUUUGGUCUCUUAUGUCUGGAAAUGAAGGGGAGUGUAUACAUGACCUUAGCUGUAACGGAAAUAAGUUCCAUUCUUGUGUUUUUCAUCCUAGUUAUGCUUCCUUAUUGGUCAUCGGCUGUUACCAGUCUCUUGAGCUAUGGAACAUGUCUGAGAACAAGACGAUGACACUGUCAGCACAUGAAGGGCUAAUCGCUGGUUUGGCCUUGUCGACGGUUACAGGUUUGGUAGCCUCGGCUAGCCAUGAUAAGAUCAUAAAACUUUGGAAGUGAAUGAUCAAUGGAGUUUUUGUUCCUCAGUAAUCUCAUUCGGUGUUUUGACGACUCUAAUCCCUCAAUUAAAUUUAGGAAGGAUUUCAAGGUUAUGACGUUUAGAGGGUCCAAUAGAUUUGAACGGGAAAAGGUUGCUUCGAGAGAUUUUCUAGAUAGCUGAUGAGGACCACUUGUAUAAGGAAUUAAUGUGUGUGUCCAAGUUGAAGAUGAUGAUGAGGACCACUUGUAUAAGGAAUUACUGUGUGUCCAAAGUUGAAGAUGAAGGAUAGAGGAUUUAAUUGUUGGAAAAAUUUAUUAACGUGUGUGUCCAAAGUUGAAGAUGAUGAUGAGGACCACUUGUAUAAGGAAUUAAUGUGUGUGUCCAAAGUUGAAGAUGAAGGAUAGAGGAUUUAACUGUUGGAAAAAUUUUGUAAAGUUAACGAUGUAUGUUUUGGAUUCCAAAGAUGAGAUGCAUCUUGUGGAGUUGGAAUGAGGAUAAGUUGUUUAUGAUU